rnacentral:rRNA from 1 species
CACGUAGGGGGCAAGCGUUAUCCGGAUUUACUGGGCGUAAAGCGCGCGCAGGCGGGUGGUUAAGUCUGCUGCGAAAGCCCCCGGCUCAACCGGGGAGGGUCGUCGGGGACCGCACCGCUUGAGGGCGGUAGGGGCUGGUGGAAUGCCUGGUGUAGUGGUGAAAUGCGUAGAGAUCAGGCGGAACACCUGUGGCGAAGGCGGCCAGCUGGGCCGUCCCUGACGCUGAGGCGCGAAGGCGUGGGGAGCGAACGGG